UACAGAGGUCUCGAGCGUUAGGCGGAAUCACUGGGCUUAAAGCGUGUUUAGGCGGAUCGGUAAGUACCUUGUGAAAUCCCACAGCUUAACUGUGGAACUGCUUGGUAUACUGCCAGUCUUGAGCCAGCUAGGGGCUACCGGAAUAAAUGGUGGAGCGGUGAAAUGCGUAGAUAUCAUUUGGAACGCCAAUGGUGAAAACAGGUAGCUGGGGCUGUGCUGACGCUGAGACACGAAAGCCAGGGGAGCAAACGGG
rnacentral:rRNA from 1 species